UAAACGACUCUCGGCAACGGAUAUCUCGGCUCACGCAUCGAUGAAGAACGUAGCAAAAUGCGAUACUUGGUGUGAAUUGCAGAAUCCCGUGAACCAUCGAGUUUUUGAACGCAAGUUGCGCCCGAAGCCUUUUGGCCGAGGGCACGUCUGCCUGGGCGCCACAC
rnacentral:rRNA from 1 species